AAGCCUGUGAUGCAAUCCUUUUUGCAUGUCACUUAGUUUGCCCGUCAUUUUUGUUCCUUUGCAAUUACUGACAACAGAAACUAGACAAAUUGAUCUUAAGGUCAACAUUUCUUUUUCCCACUGAAUGUUUUGAAUUCGAAUUUACAAAUGGAUCAUUUCCGUUCUAUGCGUCAUUUGAUUUACAGCUAUUAACACAAGAAUGAAUUUCAUGUGAAUCCAUGUGUAUGUUCUUUUUUAAUUCCUCAUUGCUAAUCUCUGAAUUGGGAACGUGCACGUGGAUUUUGGCUUGCAGACAGAGCAGCACUAGAGGGCACUGCAGUGUUUUCCUGGCACUGACCCCUGGCGGGACACUGUCGAUUUCGUUCUUGACCGCUCCCCCCUCUCCCCACCGAGCUCUUACCACACACACCCUGUGUGUUCAGCACAAAAACAGGAACGGGGAUUUGGUGCUUUGUGUUUAUCAAGAUAGUGAACCAAGGCAGUGUGUGUGCUGCUGACUCAACACUCACAGAUUGCUAGAGCUUGACUUCAAGUUUCAACAAUCUCUUCCAUCCUCUGACAUUUUAGUCCACUAAAUACAUUUUUGUUGUUAUUGUCAUUUUUAUUCUUUUCACAGGCCCGCAGCAACGUUUGCCUGGCUUCAUAUGGAAGCGCUUAAGGCUUUGAGAGUUAACACCUUGGUGAGCUGCACGCACACUGGCCUGCUGUUAGACAAAGACGGCUUUGUGGAGACUCUCCCCAAAUGUUUUCUUAACAUGUUCCAAGCAGUUUGAGCAGGCAACUAAAGUAAACAAGAUGUUGCCAUGAUAAAAACACUUGUAAAAACAAAGCCGAGCGCACUUACACACAUUGUUAGGGAGAGUUCGACUGUGUGUGUGUGUGCCCAGAAUUUGAUUCCCUUUGCUUGUAUAAACAAAGGGCGAGGCAAUGUCAGAAUACAAUAAAGAGUGAAUGAUUUAAAGGCACCCCCAAAGGCAAAAUAUAUGCGAGGGUAUUUGGAUGUAAUGCACAUUUUAAUACAAGCGUUGUACCUGACAAUUGGAUGAAAAGCAAAAGCUACCCUUCUGUUUAGCAAACUGCACGGCACACUUUCUAUUUAUUAGCAAACAAGCCUCCGUCGUAAGCACUUCAAAGGCAAGCUGCAAUGGUGUGGAUUUAUGCAAACGAUCAAAAGAGGAUUCAAAAUAUUGACAAAGCAUCAAAACUCGCAGUCAUCUCUUCAGGCUGCGCCGCACGACACCUUUGGCCCCGCGUCUGUUGGGAGGCUGUGUGAGCGCUUGUUUUGGGAUAAUGGAAUUGUGUCAUAUCUUGUUUAAAGUGAGACUAAUCCGGGGUGACAGUGAGCCAUUGAUCUGCUGCCACGCCGCAGAUGUUUUCAUCCUCUCCGUAACCAUGGCGCCGUUAUGAGCUGGAUUAACAAGAGCGCACACCCCGAGCUUGAUAAGCAAACGCGGGGUCUCAGGCGAGCCAAUCGUGAUGUAUAACAACAACGGUCCGCGCCUGGCUGAACAUGGUCUAAUCUAUUCCUGACUUGUCAUUUCAAAGCAGGUGUUUCUGUCUGAGAUAGAGGGCUAACACAGCGAUGGAGUGGACAACAAUUCAAUUCAGAAAAAGUGGAGAAGCAGAAAAGGAGAACACUGGGACAUACAGCGAGGAAAAGAAAGACAGAAAUAGAGCACAAAGCAGUCAAAGGCAAACAACAAACCCCCGUGGUCCCCAUGACAAGGGCAAACACGCAGCGCGCCCAAAGUGUGGCCUGCUACGGAUAAACAUCCUACGGUUGUUUGUUUGGGAAAAUGCUCCCCGUCACCAUGGGAACUGCACUUAUCACGGGAAUUAGAGGCCCAUGGCGUCCUCCGAGGGAGGCCCGGGCUCCGUACCCUUGUCAAGAGAGGACCGUCCCAUGCAGGCUCAGGAAUAACAACUAGCUUUUGCGCGGAUGGUGCCACAAAAACAUGUAAUCGACCCAUCGCCGGGACACACGUUUGGAAAUGGAGGAGAGAGCCGUAGCUCCGAAGAUGCCUUUUACUUACUUCAAGAAUGAAUGGAAAUCAUCAAACACUGCUUCGCAUCCGGGCCACUUGCAAACACCGUGACCAUAGAGAGGAUGGCUGUGGGGGUGGCAUUCUUCAAUGGUGGAUCUGAAGGAGAAAUGCAGAGGGGGGGGAAGAAAAAUGCAACUUCACUUAUUGCCACAAUGUGAAAAGCAACAGAUCAUUUUCAAAUUGAGCACAAACUGUAAACAUUUCCAUCUGGUAUCAAUUCACUGUACGGUAUCUAUUUACUGUCGCCAGCCAUAGCAGGGACAUCUUCGCAAAACUCACUCUACAUCUUCCUUAUGGCAAGAGGUGUAGCAGGAAUGUUAGCCCAAUAUGCUCUUGAGAAAAGUGGAGAGGCUAGCAUGAGAACAAGACAGUCCGCCAUAUGGAAACAAGCACGACACAACAGCCUGAGGGAGCGGCCUGUAUCGCUCCCACCUGGGCUUCCCAAUGGUGCAUGGCGCUGCUGCUUCUCACCUCAGCUGAUGCUUUCCAAAUAUUGUACUGAAAAUGACACUAUUUAUAGUGUCUAAUAAUUGGUGUAAAAAAGUAUACCGAAGUCAAAUUCCUUGUUUGGCAUGCUCAAACAUGGCCAAUAAAAAUUCUUGAAUCUAUAGUGAUUCAUCUUAAUUUACCACUAUUUUGCUAUUUACCUACGGUUCAAAUUCUAUUUUUUUUUCUUUUUACAUUCUUUCUGAGCACUCUUGUUUGGUUGUAUUAAUCUGAUUUUCAAACAUAAACAGCAAUAAGUAUCAGCGUGCGCAAAGAAGGGGCAUUUUAGAAGUAGAGCUUUAAAUGUGAUGUAUACUUUCUACAUUUUUGAGAAAAAAAAUCUUGAAGAAAAAAAAAAGAAAAUAUCCCAUGGUCCAAUGCAUUGUAUUACAUUUGAUGUGCACCACUGACAAGUAUUUCACGAUGCUCAGUUAUGGGGCAGCCUGAGGGUAGAACGCCUAAAUUAUAUUAUAACCGCGGGCAACCAUGUCAUUGGUUUCUUUUGGAGACGCGAGAAGAGCAAGAAACAAAUCUAAAGCCUUUGCUGCCCAGUUUUCAUAGGUUGUGAUCUAUGUGCAGAAACUGAGGCCUGUUCGGAGCCUGUUUGUUCUUCAAGACGACUCGGCGGCAGCACGUGCCGCGGCUUCGGCGUGUCAAGACGGCAGUGAUUGAAUUUCUCCUCCUUCCUCGAGACGGAAGCGCAAAGCCGAUGAGUGAUUCCUGUGGAUGCACUUAAGGUUUUAGUUGCAGGCGUCGUCGUGCCUGGCCAGAUUUGAUAUGACACAUGAAACUAACUACACGGUACUUAGGGCCCGCUGUAAACCAAUCUGAAGCCGGUCGGGAAAACAGGUCCAUCAGAAGGGAGGCGUGUUGCUGUUGCCUGACAGAAGGACUUGCGAAACCACAUCAAUUAAAAGUUCAUUAGCUUCAGCAUCGGCAAGACGGCAGGAUGCGCUCGUCAUCCUUGUCAGACUGGAAUUUUAAAUGCGUAGAUUACUAGGCGGUUCUUUCUUUGAAAUAUGAUCAAUAACAGUGUUGUGUAAAUAUAAACUUGAUCUUCACAAAGGUAAAUUCAACAUGUUCAAAUGUCUAUUUCAAUUUUUUUCAGAUAAGGCUUUUCAUUCUGUAGUAUGUUAUUUUAUUAUUAUUAAUUUAUAUUUUCAAUGUUUUCAUAUUUUGUUAUUUUAUCUGCUGUUACAUGAGCAAUGAUUUAUGACACAAUUCGGGCGAAAAGAGUCACCUGCUUGCUUUUCUGACAGAUCUAAGAUACGACGUAUGACGACAUGACCAGCCUGAGAAUAUUCCA